rnacentral:piRNA from 1 species
AGAACUCAAAAGGUUUUUGGCUG